rnacentral:rRNA from 1 species
UGCAAGUCGAACGCGAAAGUCCCGCAAGGGAUCAGUAGAGUGGCAAACGGGUGAGUAACACGUGGGUGACCUGCCUUUGAGUGGGGGAUAACGUCCCGAAAGGGACGCUAAUACCGCAUGACAUCCUGCCUUUGAACAGGUGGAGAUCAAAGCUGGGGAUCGCAAGACCUAGCGCUUGAAGAGGGGCCCGCGCCUGAUUAGCUAGUUGGUGAGGUAACGGCUCACCAAGGCAACGAUCAGUAUCCGGCCUGAGAGGGCGGACGGACACACUGGGACUGAGACACGGCCCAGACUCCUACGGGAGGCAGCAGUGGGGAAUUGUUCGCAAUGGGCGCAAGCCUGACGACGCAACGCCGCGUGGAGGAUGAAGAUCUUCGGGUCGUAAACUCCUUUCGAUCGAGACGAACGGCUUCCGGGCUAAUCACCGGGAGAUUGACGGUACCGAGAGAAGAAGCCCCGGCUAACUCCGUGCCAGCAGCCGCGGUAAUACGGGGGGGGCAAGCGUUGUUCGGAAUUACUGGGCGUAAAGGGCUCGUAGGCGGCCAACUAAGUCAGACGUGAAAUCCCUCGGCUUAACCGGGGAACUGCGUCUGAUACUGGAUGGCUUGAGGUUGGGAGAGGGAUGCGGAAUUCCAGGUGUAGCGGUGAAAUGCGUAGAUAUCUGGAGGAACACCGGUGGCGAAGGCGGCAUCCUGGACCAAAUCUGACGCUGAGGAGCGAAAGCCAGGGGAGCAAACGGGAUUAGAUACCCCGGUAGUCCUGGCCCUAAACGAUGAAUGCUUGGUGUGGCGGGUAUCGAUCCCUGCCGUGCCGAAGCUAACGCAUUAAGCAUUUCGCCUGGGGAGUACGGUCGCAAGGCUG